rnacentral:rRNA from 1 species
AGAGUUUGAUCCUGGCUCAGGAUGAACGCUAGCGGCAGGCUUAAUACAUGCAAGUCGAGGGGUAACAUGGUCUUCGGACUGAUGACGACCGGCAAACGGGUGAGGAACAUGUACGCAACCUACCUUCAACAGGAGAAUAGCCCAUCGAAAGAUGGAUUAAUACUUCGUAACAUAAUGGAAUGGCAUCAUUUUAUUAUUAUAGCUCCGGCGGUUGAAGAUGGGCGUGCACCUGAUUAGAUAGUUGGUGAGGUAACGGCUCACCAAGUCAGCGAUCAGUAACUGGUGUGAGAGCACGACCAGUCACACGGGCACUGAGACACGGGCCCGACUCCUACGGGAGGCAGCAGUAAGGAAUAUUGGUCAAUGGACGCAAGUCUGAACCAGCCAUGCCGCGUGGAGGAUUAAGGCCUUUGGGUUGUAAACUCCUUUUAUCUGGGAAGAAAUGCAUUUUUUAUAGAGUGCUUGACGGUACCAGAGGAAUAAGCACCGGCUAACUCCGUGCCAGCAGCCGCGGUAAUACGGAGGGUGCAAGCGUUAUCCGGAUUUACUGGGUUUAAAGGGUGCGUAGGCGGAUAGGUAAGUCAGUGGUGAAAUCUCCGAGCUUAACUCGGAAACUGCCGUUGAUACUAUUUAUCUUGAAUAUUGUGGAGGUAAGCGGAAUAUGUCAUGUAGCGGUGAAAUGCUUAGAUAUGACAUGGAACACCAAUUGCGAAGGCAGCUUACUACACAGUUAUUGACGCUGAGGCACGAAAGCGUGGGGGAUCAAACAGGAUUAGAUACCCUGGUAGU